UAUUGGACAAUGGGCGAAAGCCUGAUCCAGCCAUGCCGCGUGAGUGAUGAGGGCCCCCCGCCCUUGUAAAGCUCUUUUGUGCGGGAAGAUAAUGACGGUACCGCAAGAAUAAGCCCCGGCUAACUUCGUGCCAGCAGCCGCGGUAAUACGAAGGGGGCUAGCGUUGCUCGGAAUCACUGGGCGUAAAGGGUGCGUAGGCGGGUCUUUAAGUCAGAGGUGAAAUCCUGGAGCUCAACCCCAGACCUGCCUUUGAUACUGAGGAUCUUGAGUUCGGGAGAGGUGAGUGGAACUGCGAGUGUAGAGGUGAAAUUCGUAGAUAUUCGCAAGAACACCAGGGCGAAGGCGGCUCACUGCCCGAUACUGACGCGAGGCACGAAA
rnacentral:rRNA from 1 species